rnacentral:rRNA from 1 species
UACAGAGGAUGCAAGCGUUAUCCGGAAUGAUUGGGCGUAAAGCGUCUGUAGGUGGCUUUUUAAGUCCGCCGUCAAAUCCCAGGGCUCAACUCUGGACAGGCGGUGGAAACUACCAAGCUCGAGUACGGUAGGGGCAGAGGGAAUUUCCGGUGGAGCGGUGAAAUGCGUAGAGAUCGGAAAGAACACCAACGGCGAAAGCACUCGGUUGGGCCGACACUGACACUGAGAGACGAAAGCUAGGGGAGCGAAUGGG